AUUUGUGGGACUUACUGUCGUCGCGGCUAAUCGUUGACUAGUCUUACUGACAUCAACAUUAUUACAAUUAACCCCAGGUGCAGCGUUCGCACUAAUUAGCGGCUUCGCAGAUUCCUUUAAGACGGAUGGACGAUCUACACACUAUACAACAAUACCCCGCAGUUCCACGCUACAUCAAACCGUGAUCACGUUGUACAACAUUCUUCAUGGAGAGCACGGCCGCCGCUCGUACCUCUUUCAGAUAUAAGGGGCCGCAGCACUUCCAGUGAUUUCGCGGAAAAGAAAAUUCCAGUUUAUCUAUCGUCCACACGGAGCGCUCAGAACCAGUGCGUCUCUCAGACUGAGUGGUAUCCGAGAACGAGGGGAUCUAACCUAUAGAACCAAAGUAGAUUCGCUUCGUUGCUGACGUGAUUAAAAACGGAAAACGCAAGCGCAACAGUGACUUCAAAUAGUACGCGCUUCUUGGAGAGAAUCGCGAAGAAAAGCUUGCUUGGGUAGCGCAAGCUAUAGUCGCUUUUCCAACAAUCUUAUCUAUAAAGUGUGGAGACUGUCCAAGCGGUUGGCCUCACCGUUUUAACCAUAUUUUUCAUAUACUUUUUAAUCAUCGAAAUUAAAUUCAAAGAGCAUAAACUACAGAAAUACUUCAGAUGUCCAGUAAGAAUUUCCACAAAGGACUUUUCAACUAUACAGGAAGGCAGGACUUUCUACUUCAAAAUUAAACAAGUCGGGAUACCGGACGCUUCAUGUAUAAAGAUUUUGUGUUCAUCUAAUGUGAGCAACUCCCUAGGCACGUUUUUUCAUCCGUAUAUAUGUAACUAAGGAUGCAAAAUAUUUCGUCAUAUGUUGCCAAACAAAAUAUGCGUAUACAAAUU